ACCACCUCCCCCUGCUCCAGCACCAUCUCCCCCUGCUCCAGCACCAUCUCCCUCUGCUCUGCCAUUAACUGCUCUUCAGUCUGCGACCCAGAGAAAAUCUCUAGCAGAGAAAUGAUUAAGGUAGGACGUAGAAGUAGAAGUGUCUGGUUACCAGGUUACCAGAAACGCCUGCGAUAUAACAGCAUCGCGUUGGCAAGCAAAUUGAGAAACAUGAUUUAAGUUUAAAAAUUUACUGAAUUACCUCAUUUCUACCUCAAAAGAAAGGGUCAGCCAGCGAGUUCGACGGUGGUGUUGGUGUCAGGGAAACUGAAGCUGUAAUAAGAACGACUUUAAAGAGUUUCAUUAAAGCUGACUUCACACCAGCAGUGCGACGAACUCUUAAUUGCCAAAAAGAAGAAGAGGUGGAAGUGAUAUAUAUCAAUGCACAUACUUUGUAUUAUCAUAAAUGUAUGUCUCACAAAGAAUGUCUGUCUUUGUACUGAUAUGCUUUCAUCUUGUUUUAAUGAUAGGAAUAAUUUCAGUCUCAGUACAACAAACUGGUAGCUUUAUUAAUUCAUAUGUAGAAAAUGAUUCAAACAUUAUGCAAAUCAAAUGAUUUGCAUAAUGUUGGAUAACAUAUAAAAUGUUUUGUAAAAUGAAAUGGUGUCAGGUGUCACGAUAAUGAACCUAUUCCUUACAUUUUGUUUUAUUUUCCACUACACCUCACCACAUCCUGAUCAUCAGAUGUGCAUGAUGUUUUUUUCACUGACUUAAACGUGUUUGUACUUCUGUCCAAAGUGAAUGGAUAUAAGUUGUAUUACUGUGAUG